CUGUUUGAUACAUGCAAUAUGCUUUGUGGACUUCACCGGAUAGAGGUUGCUCUCCUAUUUUGUGAUGAAAAAAAGUGAUUUUACCCACGCACCACUGCUGCUGAGAUGCAGCAGCCAAGUGCCCUCAGAGUCUCUCUUGGAGGACGACAACGAACACCCUAGAUUGUUUUCAGAGUAUGCAGAAAACUAAUUACAAGCAAUAAAUUAAUUUCACGCUGUCA